rnacentral:rRNA from 1 species
UACGUAGGGUGCAAGCGUUUGUCCGGAAUUAUUGGGCGUAAAGAGCUCGUAGGCGGUCUGUCGCGUCGGCUGUGAAAACUUGGGGCUCAACCCCAAGCCUGCAGUCGAUACGGGCAGACUAGAGUGCGGUAGGGGAGACUGGAAUUCCUGGUGUAGCGGUGAAAUGCGCAGAUAUCAGGAGGAACACCAAUUGCGAGGGCAGCUCGCUGGGACGUUACUGACGCUGAGACGCGAAAGCGUGGGGAGCAAACAGG